UAUGAAUCAGUAUUCUGUUACUGUAAUGCCUAUUUCUCUCUUCAAUUGUUUUCAGAAACAUCUUGUAGUGUACUGAUUAGCUGUAAAAUGUUUGUGUGCGAAGUUUGUGGCCCAGCAUCCAUGUUGACAUCUGUUGAAGAAAUACCAAGCACCUCCCACCAGCCGGAGCACAUCAUCAUUUUUAAUAGAUUGCUCAUUUCUGAAGCUAAUCAGCAAUGCAAAAGUCCCAAAUGUGAAAACGAUGAUUUCAGAGGCAUACACCUGAGUUAGAACACCUGAUUAACCCCUCAGGAGACCCAUGUUGUUACCUGAAUACCACUUGGGGGCAACCUGUGAUCUAGACGUUUAAUCCACCAACAAAUCCCACUAGAUAACUGCCACACCUAUUCUGUCCCUUCAUAUUCCGACCCGGCUUGGUCCAAUCUACUGUACUGUACUGUGGGCACCUUUGGACCACUCUGUCCUAUAAAUGGAGCAGCCUGCGGUGUGAGAUGAAGCUGGCAGCCACUACUACCAGCAGAGUCAGCUCCUAAAAUAACCCCUCCAAGAAGCUUCCAUCAGAUUCCAAGGGGAUUUAUGAAUGGCAAACUGACCCCGGCGCCCAAAACAUCAUGUGGCUGACUACUGUCAGAGCUGCUACCGGAGGGAAACUGUGUCUGUCCAUCAACAAGGGAACCAGGUGGACAGGCAGCUGCUGCAGGAUUUCAUUCUCUCGCAUGAUCUUCUUGUUGAUGUGAAGGUGCUGGUACCAGUUGUCGAUACGCUGUCGAAGCUCCUUGCUAAUGUGAUGGCUACGCAGAGGGGUGUCUCCCACUGUGGUGAAAAUCUGAGCAGAGAACCAGAAGCAGUAGAAGUACUGACGACGCAUGGAGGCAAACUCCGGGUUGGUGAUGUUGGGGUAGACCCAACGAUCACUUCCAAAGCCGAUGUAGUUGGACAGUGCAAAGUAGAGACAAGCAUUCCAGUGGAUCAACACGAAGAUGUAGAUCAUGAGCUUGGAGAUGCGGAAGGUGUUUGGGUAGGAGGUUCUCGUCUCCAUGCGAUCCAGGGCCUCGUCGAGUCGUGGCAUACGCAGAAGGCGGUUGAUCCUCACUAGCGGAGUUUGGAUGCCAAAGACAAAGUAGAGGAAGUCGGUGGG